AUUGAACGCUGGCGGCAGGCCUAACACAUGCAAGUCGAGCGAGCGGCGGACGGGUGAGUAAUGUCUGGGAAACUGUCUGAUGGAGGGGGAUCACUACUGGAAACGGUAGCUAAUACAGCAUACCAUCAGAUGUGCCCAGAUGGGCGUAGCUAGUAGGUGGGGUAACGGCUCACCUAGGCGACGAUCCCUAGCUGGUCUGAGAGGAUGACCAGCCAAACUGGAACUGGGCCACGGUCCAGACUCCUACGGGAGGCAGCAGUGGGGAAUAUUGCACAAUGGGCGCAAGCCUGAUGCAGCCAUGCCGCGUGUGUGAAGAAGGCCUUCGGGUUGUAAAGCACUUUCAGCGGGGAGGCGUUACCCGCAGAAGAAGCACCGGCUAACUCCGUGCCAGCCGACGCGGUAAUAC
rnacentral:rRNA from 1 species